GACGAACGCUGGCGGCGUGCUUAACACAUGCAAGUCGAACGGAAAGGCCCUGCUUUUGUGGGGUGCUCGAGUGGCGAACGGGUGAGUAACACGUGAGUAACCUGCCCUUGACUUUGGGAUAACUUCAGGAAACUGGGGCUAAUACCGGAUAGGAGCUCCUGCUGCAUGGUGGGGGUUGGAAAGUUUCGGCGGUUGGGGAUGGACUCGCGGCUUAUCAGGUUGUUGGUGGGGUAGUGGCUUACCAAGGCUUUGACGGGUAGCCGGCCUGAGAGGGUGACCGGCCACAUUGGGACUGAGAUACGGCCCAGACUCCUACGGGAGGCAGCAGUGGGGAAUAUUGCACAAUGGGCGGAAGCCUGAUGCAGCAACGCCGCGUGCGGGAUGACGGCCUUCGGGUUGUAAACCGCUUUCGCCUGUGACGAAGCGUGAGUGACGGUAAUGGGUAAAGAAGCACCGGCUAACUACGUG
rnacentral:rRNA from 1 species